GGUGGUUUGUCGCGUUGUUCGUGAAAACCGGAGGCUCAACCUCUGGCGUGCGGGCGAUACGGGCAGACUUGAGUACUGCAGGGGAGACUGGAAUUCCUGGUGUAGCGGUGGAAUGCGCAGAUAUCAGGAGGAACACCGGUGGCGAAGGCGGGUCUCUGGGCAGUAACUGACGCUGAGGAGCGAAAGCGUGGGGAGCGAACAGGAUUAGAUACCCUGGUAGUCCACGCCGUAAACGGUGGGUACUAGGUGUGGGUUUCCUUCCUUGGGAUCCGUGCCGUAGCUAACGCAUUAAGUACCCCGCCUGGGGAGUACGGCCGCAAGGCUAAAACUCAAAGAAAUUGACGGGGGCCCGCACAAGCGGCGGAGCAUGUGGAUUAAUUCGAUGCAACGCGAAGAACCUUACCUGGGUUUGACAUGCACAGGACGUGCCUAGAGAUAGGUAUUCCCUUGUGGCCUGUGUGCAGGUGGUG
rnacentral:rRNA from 1 species